GACGAACGCUGGCGGCGUGCCUAAUACAUGCAAGUAGAACGCUGAAGGAGGAGCUUGCUUCUCUGGAUGAGUUGCGAACGGGUGAGUAACGCGUAGGUAACCUGCCUGGUAGCGGGGGAUAACUAUUGGAAACGAUAGCUAAUACCGCAUAAGAGUAGAUGUCGCAUGACAUUUGCUUAAAAGGUGCAAUUGCAUCACUACCAGAUGGACCUGCGUUGUAUUAGCUAGUUGGUGAGGUAACGGCUCACCAAGGCAACGAUACAUAGCCGACCUGAGAGGGUGAUCGGCCAACCUGGGACUGAGACACGGCCCAGACUCCUACGGGAGGCAGCAGUAGGGAAUCUUCGGCAAUGGACGGAAGUCUGACCGAGCAACGCCGCGUGAGUGAAGAAGGUUUUCGGAUCGUAAAGCUCUGUUGUAAGAGAAGAACGAGUGUGAGAGUGGAAAGUUCACACUGUGACGGUAUCUUACCAGAAAGAGACGGCUAACUACGUG
rnacentral:rRNA from 1 species